AACGAACGCUGGCGGCAUGCCUAACACAUGCAAGUCGAACGAGAUCUUCGGGUCUAGUGGCGCACGGGUGCGUAACGCGUAGGAAUCUGCCCUUUGGUUCGGAAUAACAGUUGGAAACGACUGCUAAUACCGGAUGAUGACGAAAGUCCAAAGAUUUAUCGCCAGAGGAUGAGCCCGCGUAGGAUUAGCUAGUUGGUGUGGUAAAGGCGCACCAAGGCGACGAUCCUUAGCUGGUCUGAGAGGAUGAUCAGACACACUGGGAUUGAGACACGGCCCAGACUCCUACGGGAGGCAGCAGUGGGGAAUAUUGGACAAUGGGUGAAAGCCUGAUCCAGCAAUGCCGCGUGAGUGAUGAAGGCCUUAGGGUUGUAAAGCUCUUUUACCCGGGAUGAUAAUGACGGUACCGGGAGAAUAAGCUCCGGCUAACUCCGUGCCAGCAGCCGCGGUAA
rnacentral:rRNA from 1 species